rnacentral:tRNA from 1 species
GGAUCCGUGGCGCAAUGGUAGCGCGUUCGAUCCAGAUAAAAAGGUUGUGUGUUCGAUUCACGUCGGGUUCA